rnacentral:rRNA from 1 species
UACGUAGGGUGCAAGCGUUAAUCGGAAUUACUGGGCGUAAAGCGUGCGCAGGCGGCUUUGCAAGACAGAUGUGAAAUCCCCGGGCUCAACCUGGGAACUGCAUUUGUGACUGCAUCGCUGGAGUGCGGCAGAGGGGGAUGGAAUUCCGCGUGUAGCAGUGAAAUGCGUAGAUAUGCGGAGGAACACCGAUGGCGAAGGCAAUCCCCUGGGCCUGCACUGACGCUCAUGCACGAAAGCGGUGGGAGCAAACAGG